GAUGAACGCUAGCUACAGGCUUAACACAUGCAAGUCGAGGGGAAACGACAUCGAAAGCUUGCUUUUGAUGGGCGUCGACCGGCGCACGGGUGAGUAACGCGUAUCCAACCUGCCCAUCACUUGGGAAUAACCUUGCGAAAGUAAGACUAAUACCCAAUGACAUCCCACGAAGACAUCUGAAUGGGAUUAAAGAUUUAUCGGUGAUGGAUGGGGAUGCGUCUGAUUAGCUUGUUGGCGGGGUAACGGCCCACCAAGGCAACGAUCAGUAGGGGUUCUGAGAGGAAGGUCCCCCACAGGGUAACCGAGCCACGUGCCAAACUGCUACGGGCGGCAGCAGUGAGGAAUAUUGCUCAAUGGGCGAGAGCCCGAACCAGCCAAGUAGCGUGCAGGAUGACGGCCUGAUGGGUUGUAACCUUCUUUUAUAAGGGAACAUUGUGGGUCGCGGGAGACUUUUUGCAUGUACCUUAUGAAUAAGGACCGGCUAAUUCCGUG
rnacentral:rRNA from 1 species